GACGUAGGUGGCGAACGUUAUCCGGAAUCAUUGGGCGUAAAGGGUGCGUAGAUGGCUUGAUAAGUUAGCAGUGGGAAAUCGAGGCUCAACCUCGUGGAAGCUGGUAAUACUGUCAGGCUCGAGUGCAGGAGAAGUUAACGGAACUCCAUGUGGAGCGGUAAAAUGUGUAGAUAUAUGGAAGAACAUCAAUAACGGCGAAGGCAGUUAACUAUUCUGUUACUGACGUUGAGGCACGAAAGCGUGGGGAGCAAAACGG
rnacentral:rRNA from 1 species